GACGAACGCUGGCGGCGUGCUUAACACAUGCAAGUCGAACGGAAAGGCCCUGCUUUUGUGGGGUGCUCGAGUGGCGAACGGGUGAGUAACACGUGAGUAACCUGCCCUUGACUUUGGGAUAACUUCAGGAAACUGGGGCUAAUACCGGAUAGGAGCUCCUGCUGCAUGGUGGGGGUUGGAAAGUUUCGGCGGUUGGGGAUGGACUCGCGGCUUAUCAGCUUGUUGGUGGGGUAGUGGCUUACCAAGGCUUUGACGGGUAGCCGGCCUGGGAGGGUGACCGGCCACAUUAGGACUGAGAUACGGCCCAGACUCCUACGGUGGGCAGCAGUGGGGAAUAUUGCACAAUGGGCGGAAGCCUGAUGCAGCAACGCCGCGUGCGGGAUGACGGCCUUCGGGUUGUAAACCGCUUUCGCCUGUGACGAAGCGAGAGUGACGGUAAUGGGUAAAGAAGCACCGGCUAACUACGUG
rnacentral:rRNA from 1 species